GGGCCCUCCGGCCAUUUCCCAGUUUUAUCAUCUAAGCAUUUGCUCCUGCACGUUAUAUGAUUCUGGAGAUUAGAAGUUCAAGUUCCAGGAUACCACUGUGGGUGGUUUCUGGAGUGACCUCUGUCCUUGGUCUGCAGAUGGCUGCCUUCUCCCUGGGUCCAAAUGGCCUUAAAUGAGCUGAGGAGGAGGGGUGGAGGGGUUGGGGAGGGAGAGUUUCUGGUGUUUCAUCCUAGAAGGACACCAGUCCUAUCAGAUUAGGGCUCCACCCUGAGGACUUCACUUAACCUUAAUUUGGCCCCCUCUCCAGGUACAGCGCCACUGGGGGUGGGGCUUCUACAAAGGAACUUUGGGGAAGGAUACAGCUCAGUCUAUAACAGUCUCCUGGGGCACACGCAUGUAGUUUUGCCCUUUGCAUUUAAUAUAUACUUUACAGGCAUACGGUGUUUUAUUGUGCUUUCCCUUAUUGCACUUCAAAGAUACUGUGUUAGUUUACAAAUUACAGGUUUGUGGUAAUCCUGCCUUGUCAGGUGAUGGUCAGCAUUUUUUAGCAAGAAAAUAUUUUUAUUUAUUUAUUUUGGCAGUUUUUUGGGGGUGGGAAUUAGGUUUGUUUGUUUGUUUGUUUAUUUGUGGAGGGACAUGGGAUGGAACCCAGGAUCCGUGCAUGCUAAGUACGAGCUCUACCACUGAGCUCUACCCUCCUUCCACCAGAAAAUACUGUUAAAUUAAGGUGUGAAUGUUGUUUUUUUAGACAACUCUCUUGCACAUCUAUAGACUACAGUGAAGUAUAGGGGUCACUUUUACAUGCACUGGGAAGCCAAAACUUUGUGUGACUUGCUUUAUUGCAAUAUUUGCUUUAUUGCAUGGUCUGGAACUGAACUUGCAGUAUUUCCAAGGUCUGCCUGUACCUGGAAUUUAAUAGAAGAUUUUAUUGAGUUAAUUGCAGCUUCCCAUGCAGUUUUAAGAAAUAGUCCAGAGGGGGAGGGGAUAACUCCAUGGAAGAAUGUGUGCCUAGCAAGCACGAGGUCCUGGGUUCAAUCCUCAGUACCACCAUUAAAAAUCAAUAAAUAAAAAUGUAAUUGCCUCCCCCCAAAUAAAGUAAUAAAUAAAAAAUAUAAUAAUAAAAAUCUAGGAUUCUUUGUUCACUUCUCCCAGUUUCACAUAACGGUGACAUUUUGAGGAACUCUAGUAAACCAUCACAACCAGGACAUUGCUAUGGGCUUUCUUCCCUAGUUUCAUUUGCACUCAUUUGUGUGUGUGUGUGUGUGUGUGUGUGUGUGUGUGAAUUAGGGUCUACACAAUUUUCUCACCUACAUAGGUCUGUGUGUCCACCGUCACAGUCAGAUCCUCGAUGUUGUCUUCUUCAUAAACACAGCUGCUUCCUUGGCCCCCUCUCAGCAGUUGAUUUUUUGUAUGAGGUAGCGUCACAUUUGUUUCCAUUUCUUUUUUAAG